UACGGAAGGCAGCAGUGGGGAAUAUUGCACAAUGGGCGCAAGCCUGAUGCAGCCAUGCCGCGUGUAUGAAAAAGGCCUUCGGGUUGUAAAGUACUUUCAGUCGUGAGGAAGGUGUUAAGGUUAAUAACCUUAGCAAUUGACGUUAGCGACAGAAGAAGCGCCGGCUAACUCCGUGCCAGCAGCCGCGGUAAUACGGAGGGUGCGAGCGUUAAUCGGAAUUACUGGGCGUAAAGGGCACGCAGGCGGUUAAUUAAGUUGGAUGUGAAAUCCCCGGGCUUAACCUGGGAAUGGCAUUCAAGACUGGUUAGCUAGAGUCUUGUAGAGGGGGUAGAAUUCCAUGUGUAGCGGUGAAAUGCGUAGAGAUGUGGAGGAAUACCGGUGGCGAAGGCGGCCCCUGGACAAAGGCUGACGCUCAUGUGCGAAAGCGUGGGGAGCAAACAGGGAUUAGAUACC
rnacentral:rRNA from 1 species